CUCCCAGUCUCAUUAGCAGUGUAAAUAGCCCCAGUGGCUAUGUUGCAGCCAGGCAGCAGCACUCCACUCCUCUCCAGUUAUCACAUGAAUUGUCAUAAAGGCACUCCAACUGCCUCUCAGUGCAAGAGUGGAACUAUCCCAGAACCAGACCCAAUUCCUAAUUGAGGAUUUAAAUAAGCGUUGAGGAAUCAAAACUCCAGUCACAGUUAAUGGAAGCUGUGAUAGCUCAGCAUUCUUGGAAACUGGUUUCAAAGAAGAGGCAGGAUCUGACAGUGAUAUGGUCCAAAAGGCAUUGAGAAAAGGGCUGCCCAACAUUGUUUCAUUUUUUAAGCCAGAAAAGAAAUUUUCAAUACAAGUAAUACUAAGCUAUACAUUUUAACUACCAGUUUAUUGAAAAACUUGAUGAAACCUAGUAUUUUUGUCCCCUGGAACUCGAGAAAAUAAACAUUUAAAAUGACGC
ensembl:lncRNA